rnacentral:rRNA from 1 species
UGGGGAAUUUUGGACAAUGGGCGCAAGCCUGAUCCAGCCAUGCCGCGUGCGGGAAGAAGGCCUUCGGGUUGUAAACCGCUUUUGUCAGGGAAGAAAUCUUCUGAGUUAAUACCUCGGGAGGAUGACGGUACCUGAAGAAUAAGCACCGGCUAACUACGUGCCAGCAGCCGCGGUAAUACGUAGGGUGCAAGCGUUAAUCGGAAUUACUGGGCGUAAAGCGUGCGCAGGCGGUUUUGUAAGACAGAGGUGAAAUCCCCGGGCUCAACCUGGGAACUGCCUUUGUGACUGCAAGGCUUGAGUGCGGCAGAGGGGGAUGGAAUUCCGCGUGUAGCAGUGAAAUGCGUAGAUAUGCGGAGGAACACCGAUGGCGAAGGCAAUUCCCCUGGGCCUGCACUGACGCUCAUGCACGAAAGCGUGGGGAGCAAACAGGAUUAGAUACCCUGGUAGUCCACGCCCUAAACGAUGUCAACUGGUUGUUGGGAAGGUUCCUUCUCAGUAACGUAGCUAACGCGUGAAGUUGACCGCCUGGGGAGUACGGCCGCAAGGUUGAAAGCUUAAA